UGUCUUCUUUGUCAUAAGUUGCUUGCUGUAUCUCCAGACACAGCAUCAGAGCUCCAGGCAAAAAAAGGAGAAAAUGACAGGCAAAGCUUUGCCCAUUUAUUUUGAUGGCAAACUUGCCCUAAGGACUUCGGGCUACUUUGAAACAGCUAGGAUGAUGUCUCCUGGCUCCUUACCUGAAGGGGGAUGCGCAUCUGGGUCAUUGUCUUUUCAUUCUGUAAUGGAGGAAGGUCACCACAACUCACACUGAUCACUUCUCCAUUAGCGUCUCUACAAACCAAGAGGGGUCCUAUCCAAGGAGCGGCAUGUGGGGCUGAUGUUCAGACUCGUGAUUUUCUGGAGAAAAUGAAGACACCUCAAUGCCAGCUGCCAUGAAAAAGGAUACAAAUACCAUUGC